CGCAUCUGUGCAUGCAGCAUAUCAAUAAGCGGAGGAAAAGAAACUAACAAGGAUUCCCCUAGUAACGGCGAGUGAAGCGGGAAGAGCUCAAAUUUGAAAUCUUAAAGGGUUUCCCUUUACGAAUUGUAGUUUAAAGAAGUGUUUUCUGUUGAGGUUUUGGUAAAAGUUCUUUGGAAUAGGACAUCAUAGAGGGUGAGAAUCCCGUAUUUGACCUUUACUUUCAACUUUGUGAUACACUUUCAAAGAGUCGGAUUGUUUGGGAAUAGCAGUCCAAAAUGGGUGGUAAAUUUCAUCUAAAGCUAAAUAUUGGCGAGAGACCGAUAGCGAACAAGUACCGUGAGGGAAAGAUGAAAAGAACUUUGAAAAGAGAGUUAAACAGUACGUGAAAUUGUCAAAAGGGAAGCGUUUGACACCAGUGUUGUUUUUCUGAAAAUCAAUUAAAGAACUGUUUAUGCCUAAGUUGUUUAGACUUUAUCAGCUAUACUGCUUAGUUUUGAGCUUUUCUUUAAUGCACUUUUCAGUUAACAAGUCAACAUCAAUUUCUUUUGCUGUAAAAAAGCUUGAGGAAGGUGGCUUGAGAUUCGUCUUAAGUGUUUAUAGCCUCUUGCCUAUGCAGUCGGAGAGAUUGAGGUCUGCAGCGUAGAUCCUUCGGGGCUAAAUGCAUUUGUGCUAAGUUAUAGCAUUUUAUAGACAACUUGUUGACUAUGAUUUGUCUUGUAGCUUACUCGCUUAUGUUAUUUUACCUACGCUUAGGAUGUUGAGUCAUCACACAUCUCU
rnacentral:rRNA from 1 species